rnacentral:rRNA from 1 species
CCUACGGGGGGCUGCAGUGGGGAAUAUUGGACAAUGGGGGCAACCCUGAUCCAGCCAUGCCGCGUGUGUGAAGAAGGCCCUCGGGUUGUAAAGCACUUUCAGUGAGGAAGAACGCCUGGUGGUUAAUACCCAUCAGGAAAGACAUCACUCACAGAAGAAGCACCGUCUAACUCCGUGCCAGCAGCCGCGGUAAUACGGAGGGUGCGAGCGUUAAUCGGAAUUACUGGGCGUAAAGCGCGCGUAGGUGGCUUGAUAAGCCGGUUGUGAAAGCCCCGGGCUCAACCUGGGAACGGCAUCCGGAACUGUCAAGCUAGAGUGCAGGAGAGGAAGGUAGAAUUCCCGGUGUAGCGGUGAAAUGCGUAGAGAUCGGGAGGAAUACCAGUGGCGAAGGCGGCCUUCUGGACUGACACUGACACUGAGGUGCGAAAGCGUGGGUAGCAAACAGGAUUAGAUACCCUAGUAGUC